ACACAGCUGAAGCAAUCAGAGGAUUCAGUACAAAAUCUUGCGAAAGAGGUGGCACAGCUGAAAGAUGAACUUUCAGUUCAGCUGGAAAACUAUUCCACCUUGGACAAGCAAUUCGAAGAAGUCAGGAGCAGUAUGCAUGCUGAAAUUGCAGAACUACAUGCAGAGAAGGACGCAUCUCUAUUGGAGUUACAGACAUCUCAGGCUUCUGUCAGGAACCUUGAGGUUGCGCUUCAAACGCAAAAUGAGAACAUUUCAACUCUACAGCAAGCUAAUGAUGAGUUGCAGAAGAACAUUCGUACUUUGUCCGAGCAAACAGAACUAGCCAAGGCUGAGCUGCAGCAGGAGGUCAAGGCUACACAAGAAGAGAAGGAUGCAGUACUGACACAGCUGAAGCAAUCAGAGGAUUCAGUACAAAAUCUUGCGAAAGCGGUGGCACGGCUGAAAGAUGAACUUUCAGUUCAGCUGGAAAACUACUCCACCUUGGACAAGCAGUUGGAAGAAGUCAGGAGCAGUAUGCAUGCUGAAAUUGCAGAACUACGUGCAGAGAAGGACACAUCUCUAUUGGAGUUGCAGAUAUCUCAGGCUUCUGUCAGGAACCUUGAGAUUGCGCUUCAAACGCAAAAUGAGAACAUUUCAACUCUACAGCAAGCUAAUGAUGAGUUGCAGAAGAACAUUUGUACUUUUUCCGAGCAAACAGAACAAGCCAAGGCUAAGCUGCAGCAGGAGGUCAAAGCUACACAAGAAGAGAAGGAUGCAGUGCUGACACAGCUGAAGCAAUCAGAGGAUUCAGUACAAAGUCUUGCGAAAGAGGUGGCACGACUGAAAGAUGAACUUUCAGUUCAGCUGGAAAACUAUUCCACCUUGGACAAACAGUUGGAAGAAGUCAGGAGCAGUAUGCAUGCUGAAAUUGCAGAACUACGUGCAGAGAAGGACGCAUCUCUAUUGGAGUUACAGACAUCUCAGGCUUCUGUCAGGAACCUUGAGAUUGCGCUUCAAACGCAAAAUGAGAACAUUUCAACUCUACAGCAAGCUAAUGAUGAGUUGCAGAAGAACAUUUGUACUUUGUCCGAGAAAACAG
rnacentral:lncRNA from 1 species